rnacentral:rRNA from 1 species
UGGGGAAUAUUGCACAAUGGGCGCAAGCCUGAUGCAGCCAUGCCGCGUGUAUGAAGAAGGCCUUCGGGUUGUAAAGUACUUUUAGCGGGGAGGAAGGGAGUAAAGUUAAUACCUUUGCUCAUUGACGUUACCCGCAGAAGAAGCACCGGCUAACUCCGUGCCAGCAGCCGCGGUAAUACGGAGGGUGCAAGCGUUAAUCGGAAUUACUGGGCGUAAAGCGCACGCAGGCGGUUUGUUAAGUCAGAUGUGAAAUCCCCGGGCUCAACCUGGGAACUGCAUCUGAAACUGGCAAGCUUGAGUCUCGUAGAGGGGGGUAGAAUUCCAGGUGUAGCGGUGAAAUGCGUAGAGAUCUGGAGGAAUACCGGUGGCGAAGGCGGCCCCCUGGACGAAGACUGACGCUCAGGUGCGAAAGCGUGGGGAGCAAACAGG